CACCACUCAAGCCUCGCUUGGUAUUGGGCGACGCGGUCCGCCGCGCGCCUCAAAUCGACCGGCUGGGUCUUCUGUCCCCUCAGCGUUGUGGAAACUAUUCGCUAAAGGGUGCCCGGGAGGCUACGCCGUAAAACAACCCCAUUUCUAA
rnacentral:misc_RNA from 1 species